rnacentral:RNase_P_RNA from 1 species
AGGGCCGGCCGGGCGGUCGCGGGCGCGCGAUGCGCGCCUGAGGAAAGUCCGCGCUCCGGAGGGCAGCGUGCCGGAUAACAUCCGGUUCGGGUGACCGAGGGAAGAGGGCCACAGAGAAGGAGAUUGCCCGCGGUUUGAAUGCCGGCGGGUGAGGGUGAAAAGGUGCGGUAAGAGCGCACCGGCGCGCGCAGCAAUGUGCGCGGCCCGGCAUCCCCCACGUGGAGCAAGGCCAAGCAGGGGCGAUGUGGCGGCCCGCCGCAUUUGAGUUCCGGGUAGGUCG